GAAAUGCGAUAACUAGUGUGAAUUGCAGAAUUCCGUGAAUCAUCGAGUCUUUGAACGCACAUUGCGCCCCCUGGUAUUCCGGGGGGCAUGCCUGUCCGAGCGUCAUUGCUGCCCAUCAAGCACGGCUUGUGUGUUGGGUCGUCGUCCCCUCUCCGGGGGGGGACGGGCCCCAAAGGCAGUGGCGGCACCGCGUCCGAUCCUCGAGCGUAUGGGGCUUUGUCACCCGCUCUGUAGGCCCGGCCGGCGCUUGCCGAACGCAAAUCAAUCUUUUUCCAGGUUGACCUCGGAUCAGGUAGGGAUACCCGCUGAACUUAAGC
rnacentral:misc_RNA from 1 species